UAUCUUAGAGUGAUAGUAAUAAAUGUAUUGCACAUUAUAAAUAAUUUAAUAAUUCUUUAUAUUAAAGCAGAUUUUAUUGUUUGUUUCUGAAAAAACAGUUGACAGACCAUAUUACUGAUAUUACAUUUUGUCAUAACUAGCUUUAAUAAACCAGGAUAAGUUUGAACAUUAGCUUUACUUUUUCAGGUAUGAAACCUGCAGUCAACACAGGCUUUUAGAGGUCUGCAAGUACAGAGUUUUAAAUUGUGAAACAAAACCUCUAACUAGAUCACAGUGUGUGUGUGUGUUAUGCUGUGCUGAGAUAUUGCUGUGACAUAUGGUGGAUUUAGGUCCACAACCUGGUAUUAUUUGAGUUGACAUCUGUACCAGACAUCCUACUGUAGACAGUUCUGAGUGAGCAAUGGCCCAAGACACCUUGUUAAUGCUGCCCUGUUAUCUACUGAGUUUCUACAUACAAGUCAAGUAAGU